CUUUACAAACAUAUUCUUCACCAUGCCAGAGGGCUGAUUUUGACGGAAAACUCCCAGGAAGUCACAGUGUUGGUACUCUUCCAAGGUCCUAAUAAACUAAGGUAACUAUGGAAACUCAAGCACUUGGAACACUGGGCAAUGUAAACGCUCUCUGCUCGGCAGGGUUCCCUCACACGCAAACACCAUUUCUGAGAAAUCCUUAGUACACCUCCCCGAGGGGACCGCACAGACUCAGACCACAUCUAAACAAGCCACAAGCCUGCUCCAGUUCUCUUUGGAACGGGGACACCCAAACCAGCUCCUCCUGGAGAUCUGGGCCCCCUCCCUCUGGACAGCUGAACAGAAGUGAAGCUAACACAUCACCAAUUCCCAAGCUUAGAUUCUGCAACUUGGUGCCUGACAUUGCCACAGCAGAGUCCCCAUGCUGUAGGGGUGACCAGCAUGGGCCCUGUGUGGCAGGAAGGGCUCCAAUUCCAGAGCAUCAAACAACCAAAAGGCCUGAAAACUCUAUUUUAUUCAACUAAUUUAAACCUAGGAAACCUGAAAUACCCAAGGAAAGUCAGCAGUGGAGAGGGAGACUGGCCCUCAGACCUCGGCUCCCCACCCUGUUCAACCGACCUUCCACCACACUCCACUGCAGCCCUGCUGAGUCCAGUUCUGCUCUGGGAGCAAUUCCCAGGGGACACGUGGCAGUCCAACAAGACAGUGUUAUAGCAGCAGGCUCCAAAUCAAAGGAAAAGCAGAAGACAACACGCGCUGUUUUAAAUAUCAUAGAGAGACCAUCCCCGGAGGUGUUUAUCAUGAUUCAGACAUGGACAAGCUUUGGGAUCUCGGACAAGUCACUUCACAUCUCUGGACUUUGUUUCUGUAGUCCUCUCUGGCCCUCUGUUCUGAGUCUCCAUGGAUAGAACUGAUCAUCACUAGAGAGAAAGGAGAGCCACAAACCUAAUCUCCCAGGUGACAAUUAUUAACUCUACCAGUAUGACAUGCCUUCUGGGGAGUGGUGGCAGCGGCCACCUGCAGUCCAUCUCCACAGCAGGAUGAAGUUUCCUGGAGAAGCCACGGAGGUGAAGAGAGGACUCAGGCUGCUAACUCAGCCCAGCCCUGUACAAACACAGGGUAACUGCACCUGGGAUAGAAAGCGUUAAUUUAGAACUUCGUUGUCCUACAUGUUCCAGCAACUCUGUGGUUCUCUAUUAGAGCUGAAGAGACUGAGGCUCUGAGAGGUUGCAUGAUUGUACAAAGGGUGUAAAUGUGCAAUGAGAGGGGACAGAGAGAGAGACAGAAAGAGAGCAUAUUUGAGGUUUGAGACCCUCGAGGUGGAAGCAGAUGUCAGUUAUAACUUGUUGACUGUCUUCUGUGACAAGAACUUUACAUACUUUAUCUCAUUAAAUCCUCACAAUAACCAUGCAACGUAGGUGUCAAAAACUCAUGUUACAGAAGAGUAAAAUGAAGUUGAGACAGGUUAGAGUGAUUCCAGGCACACAACUAUUGGAUGACAGCACCGGUCUUCUCACUUGCUUUUUCUGAUUCCCAAAUCUUUGAUCUUCCCACUCUCUUGGGAUGCCUCAAGGCUGCGUAGACACAUGGCCAGAACAUUCCUCCACUCGAUGUUGUGUAACCACAGGACAGAGGAGAAGACAGUGGCCUUCAACACUUGACAUGAAACUGUGGCAUGAGAAGAGCCAGUGAUCAAGCCAAUCUUGGUCAGAACGUCAUUACCUCUGGUGAGAGAGCCACUGUCUGAGCACCUCUGGUCACCCUAUCCUGUGCCUUGUCAUCAGGCACACUAUAUCUGGGAGAGUCUGGAAUCCCCAUAAGGAAAGGAUGGAGGUAGGGCUGUGAUAGGAAGCCCUUCUCCCUCCCUAGCUCUUUGCCUCAAUUAGCUUAAAGAUACAAAUAGCCCUACAUAGUCUCACAAAGUCUUUCUAUGAGUUGCCAAGUUGCCUUGUUUCCUACGGAACUGUAACAUUUUAUGAAUAAGGUUAUUUAUGAGUGCUUCCACCCUAGUGGGAAAAAGAUAGGUUACAGAAUGAAAAUUCCCUUUACCUCUCAACCUUUGAUCUUCAUAGUCAAAAUCGGGUAACAACAAUAACCUCCAUACAGGAUGGGCAUGAGGAUGCAAUGAAGUGAUGUGUCUGGAUCAUAGAGGUCCCUGUACCAACGUGAUAUUGUUUUAUGCCUGCGGGCAGCUCCAGUCAUCCAAUUAAGCUGACAGGGGCUUCCCUCCUUGCUUGAUGGAGUGGUGAGGACCAGGGUCCCGCUAAUCCUAUGGGUAUUCUCUCAUGUAUCCUUGCAGCAAUCCUAUUUACAUACUAACCCCAUUUACAUACAGGGAACUGAAAGUUUGUGAAGUCAAUUAAAUGGAGGGCAGGUGGACUCUGCACUGUCAGGAAAAGCUCCCAAUCUUGAAAUUACAGCUAGAAGAACCCUGAGAGCAGGGUAUGCACACACCGCCACCUCGGCAGGCCUGGAACACGCUCCUGGUGCCACACUUGGGCCAGUGAGGUACACUGAGGGUCCCAGCCUGACAUCCAGCCAGUAUUUAACUCCAAGGAGAGGGAAGGCACAGGGAAGGACAGGGCCAAGAAAGAAGACACUGGACCUGUUGUGGAAAACUCCACAGACUCGGAAUGAAAUUUUGGCUUUGGUUAUUUUCUGGUGAUCCUCCUGCACAAGGAAUUGGGAAGCCGCUGCCAGCUGGAAGGUGGGGAGCCCCACAUCACAAUUCUUAACCCACCUGUUUAUAAAUAGGCGUUCACAUGUAUGCAAAGCCAAAAGUGGCCUCUCACCCACCUUCCAGUAAUUGCUCUGUGACCCACAGAGAGGGAAGGCAAGGAAGCAAACUUCAAAGGCCUUUGAAAAAGAACACUGACCACAUACAUUUGAAAAGAGGUCAAUGUGGAUUUGACAAAAGGCCAAAGGACAUUUGAAAACACAGGGAGUGACUAUUCAUUCCAAAACACACAGGGGAGUGUGCCCUGAGGAUCUGUGGGGGUUCAUGAAGUCUGUCCAGGAGAACUGUAGGAUCCUUGUGCUUAGGCAAGUUUCAGUUUUAGGGUGUGCCAUGCAGAGUUCCGUUGAUUACGGAGGGCCCAGCUUCCUAAGGAGGAUGUGAAAAUUAACUUGAAACUGAAGCUGUGCCCAAAGGUGUCUGAGGUUGUGACAGUCAGAGUUGCCAGCAUUCUAGUUGGGAUCCCAUUAGCAUGUGACAUCAGACAAGCAAUUGAGGCAGCACGCCAGCCUCUCCACCUACAGACGGGAGCCCCUGUGCCUCUCAAAGUCAGAUGACACACAUGGAAUCAUUUCAAGCCUUUCAAUACUUUCGAUGUCAUAUUAUUCAUUUUCCC
rnacentral:lncRNA from 1 species